UUGAAAGGGAAACGAUUGAAGUCAGUCGUACUUGCGGGCAAUCAGCCUUUUGGGUGUGAUUAUGUGGAGCGUGAGGAGUUAAUCACCUUCAUCUUUUCAUAUUCGUGCACUUUGGGUGUACUUGCUCGUGUGUAGGUUAACAUCAAUUUUGAUUAUCAUAAAAUGAUUGGAGGAAUGUAGCUUCGAUCUCGUAUUGAAGUGUUAUAGCCUUUGGUAGACGUGAUGAUUGGGAUUGAGGAUUGCAACGGAAUCCUUCGGGCUACCUGUCUGAUCUCUGGAAGUUGCUCUGGUGCUGAAAGCUUGCCUAUGGUAUCAAAGUUGACGUUCAAUAGGUUAGAACGGGAUAAAUUCGUUAAGGAUGUUGACGUA
rnacentral:rRNA from 1 species